rnacentral:snoRNA from 1 species
GAAUAUGACGACAAAACGCUGUGCACCAGUCAGAGUACUCAAAUCAUGAUUGACCCAGUAUACCCAAAUUUCUGAAC